rnacentral:misc_RNA from 1 species
CGAUCUGAUGCUCGCACACCCAAUUCUGAUCAAUCGGCCGAUUGUCGUGACGCCCAAGGGCGUCAAGCUGUGCCGGCCAUCGGAGGCGGUGCUUGAGAUUCUGCCAAAUCCGCACAUCGGCAGAUUCGUCAAGGAAGACGGCGAAGUCAUCAACGCGAUCUGACGACUCGUCUGCCUCACCAUCGGCGCGGGUAUCAACACCCGCAUAUCCGAGGGAGAGAGUCCGGCAGCUUGUGG